UCGUAAAGGGUGCANGAGUGGUGUUUGGUUUGUUACGGGUGGUUGGCUCUUUGCUUUUGCACGAACUUCCACCUGGCAUACCUCUUCAGUCUUGUGUCAAUGCUUGUAUUGCAUUGAAUGACGGGUUUCUUGUGUUGCAUGCCUAGUUAAUGGUAUCGUUUGAUGAAUUGGUUUCCUUUUUCGUCUUGCCUCGCCUACGCGAUGUGUGAUGAACCUUGAAGCAGCCUUUGUGAUCCACACUUUUUGAUGCAUACGCAUUGAUGUUGUGGCCCAUUAAGUGUUGCUUGGUCUCAUGGAUAUGGAACCUGGUGUGGGCAUGGAAUCUUAAUGGUUCUUUGUUUGCCCAAGUUAAGCUUUUCUGAAACGAUCGUCUAUCAUGUGUUAACGUGGUAGACUACAUCGAAUAUGAAUGCUACC
rnacentral:misc_RNA from 1 species